AGGCCAUUCGACCCAUUAAGUCUACUCCGCCUCAUUCAGUCACGGCUGAUCGAUCUCACCCACCUAACCCCAUUCACCUGCCUUCUCCCCAUAACCCUUGACUCCUGUACCAAUCAAGAAUCUAUAUGUUUUUGCCUUAAAGUGCCUU